UGUAACACGUAUUUCAGCUGAUCAGUGCAAUGACAAACAAGCUGGACAUCAAAGCAGAGCCUUUACCCCAGGAUGAUGCUGAGGGUGUGGACUCGGAUGAAUGGGGCGAUGAUUAAAGAAGGCAGCUAAUAGUCUCCAACAUUCCAUGUGUGCAAUAUCUCAGCGAUAUGUGUGCUUUAUUUUAUUGUAAAUCUAAAUAGGCCUGCUCAAUGAACAUGCAUUUAACCCCCUUUUCACAGAGAACGGCCAUCAACAUAAAGGUUUAAUAUGAUUUGUCAUAUAAUUACAUCACUGUGAUAUAUGAUGAUGAAGAUGAUGAUAAUGAAGACGGUAGAACUUUACCUAGGUUAUCAUAUUUAUGCUACAAAUUGUAAAUAGACCUUAUUUUUGUCCCCUACCGGUGAAACCGGAGGGGACUUAUGGUUUGCGCUCUGUUUGUCAGUCAGUCUGUCUGUCUGUCACAUUUUUCUGGAUCCUGCCAUUACUUAAAAAGUUCUUCAUAUUUUUCAUGAAACUUGCAACAUGGAUUGAUGGCAAUAUGGACAUUAUGCACGUAAUUUCAUUUGUUCCUACGUCAAAAAUUGUGGUUGCUAUGGCAACCAAAAGAACUAAACAAAAAAAAAACUCUGAAAAUGGUGGAAUUUCUUACAAUGGUGGAGCCGG